rnacentral:rRNA from 1 species
GCAAGCUGCGGAGGGACGCAGUGAGGUAGCUCAUCCCCGGUGAUGGUUGUCCGGGGCUAAGUGUGUGGACUGUCUGGUAGGUAAAUCCGCUGGGCGUGAAGGUUGAGGCAUGAUGGGGAGCCCACGGUUGUGGGUGAGUGAGUGAUCCUGUACUGUCGAGAAAAGCUUCGUGAGCGAGGUGGCGGGUCCGCCCGUACCCUAAACCGAC